UCGAGGAUCUUCUGCAAUGGGCGCAAGCCUGACAGAGCGACGCCGCGUGAGGGAUGAAGGCUUUCGGGUUGUAAACCUCUUUCGCCCGUUACGAAUUCCUGGGAGUGAAUAGCUUCCAGGUUGACUAAGGCGGGUAAAGAAGCCCCGGCUAACUACGUGCCAGCAGCCGCGGUAAUACGUAGGGGGCGAGCGUUGUCCGGAAGUACUGGGCGUAAAGCGCGCGUAGGCGGCUUGGUAAGUCGGUUGUGGAAGCCCCGGGCUCAACUCGGGAAUGGCGACCGAAACUGCCAGGCUCGAGUGCGGUAGGGGGUGCUGGAAUUCCUGGUGUAGCGGUGAAAUGCAUAGAUAUCAGGAGGAACACCGGUGGCGAAGGCGGGCACCUGGGCCGCCACUGACGCUGAGGCGCGAAAGCUAGGGGAGCAA
rnacentral:rRNA from 1 species